AGUUACAUCAAGUAAUGUCAGCAACAUUAUUGACAAGCAAUUAGAUAACUAUUAAGCACAAUUCAAAAGCACUUCUGUACUUAUUCCAGCUUUAGACAAGUCUCUACACUUGAUUUAACUGCAGUGAAGAGUAGGAUAUUAGACAGGAUGCUACGUUACGCAAUUAGUUUGAAUGGCUGCUAUGCAAUUCCAAUACACAAUAGAAUCUUUACACACUGUAUACAUUGGGCAGUCUGCCUAAACUGACAUUAGUCAUUACUUUCAGUAGAGAUGAAAAAGAACAUGGCAAGCCUCUGCCACAUCCUCAUAAAAAGCAACCUAAUUCACAAAAGGCACGUUGCAACUCCUUAAAGCAUUACUCACUUCAUCAACACUUUUAUUUUAUUUUCAGUUUCCAAAAUAAUGUUCAGAAAAACAAAUGCAUCUUUAAUUGAUAGAACACAAAAUUUAACAAACUACAAAUAUUGAAACUCAAUUGACGAAAGGCAUAGCAACAAACCAAAAGGGAAAGAGAAGUAUUGAUCGUAUAACUCUUCCUCUGUACACCCUUUGCAUAAAGUUCUUUUCCCGUUGCCAAUUUUUAUACUAAGAGCAGAGUGCCAUAACUUCGUACAUGAAAAUGCUUUAACAGUCUCCCAACAAUAUUGAUCAAAUAGUUUGUUUCCAUGACAACUAAAAACCAAUCAUACCCAACAAGUAAUUGCUAAGAGUAUCUGGACCUCCACAUCAACACAGCAGGCGACAUUUGCCAUUACCAAUGCGAAAAUAAUUACACCGUAUGCAUCAAUGCUUUCAGAGUAAUGGCUUCAGAGUAACACCUUAAUAAGUAUUUUUGAAACAUCCUUAGUUUCAUUCACUCACUAAUCAUCACCACGUCCCUUCUCUAAUGUACAAGGAAUUUCAUAGCACGUUGGUGUGUAUCACAAUAAACUAAUAUGAAUCUAAUAAGGAUUUUUAUUAAUUACUCAACUUCACAUUUGGUUUCCCUGUCUUCCCACUAUUCUGAAUCAAUUUUGAUUAAAUCUUAUAAAAUUGUAAAGUCAAUAUGAAAGGUAACAAUUUUGUCCAUUUUUGACCCCUGGACCCGUUUAUUCCGAAUUCUUAAUUAAAAAUAAAAAGGAAAUGUUUUAAAAAUAAAAAGGUCCUUUCAUACUGUAAAAUGUACUUUUUGGUUACUAUAAUGGAAAUAAGCCAAAAUGCAUUUCAAAUAACUCCCAUCAAAAUAUUUGAAAUCAUGCUAGUUGCAUUGGGUGUACAAAGUUAUUAAAUAUUUGCAGCAUGGAUAAUCAUUAACUCACAUUUAUUAACUUCCACAUCGGCCAAAGGUUCACAGUGCUAUGUUUAAAAGAGGAAAAAGGGAAAUUUCUUUUUGUCACUUUUCAUUUGAUACAAAUUCCAGAACAAUGCCUGAAGCUGAGAAAACGCAGAUUAGAGCUUUCUCUCUCUCAUCCUUGCGAUGAGAACAUUGCCAGGAAGGCUGGCAUUUGUCAUCUCACUCGAGCAGAUCUGAGCAAUUUGCUGCAACUUGCAAGAUCACUUCAGAAGCAGCCAUGAGUCUACACAUGGUGGAUGACGAGUGAAGUAAACCUAGACCAGAUCAGAUAAAAUAUUUUGCUCAUUUCCUCACCCCCUCGUCCACUGGUGGAACAAUAAUACUUUGCCUUAAAACUGAAGACUGAAAGCAGAGAUGUACAUUGGAGGUGAACAUUUUACGGCUUUCCUAACAACAGGACAGGAGUAGAUACAGGUGGACAAGAUAACUUGAAUACUUUGCCACUUCCUUUGCAGACAUGCAGAUCAGCAUCAGCAGAAGAAGAAACAGUUAUACUGUUGCAGCUAUGGAAGAUCAGAACAUUUUGAAAAUGACAUAACAGAAACACAAGAGAACAGCAGUGCUCAUCAGGUGUAACAGCAACUCCAUUUGGAUAGCACUGGCUUCCAGUGGAGUCGCUGUUACUUUCGAUGGGCACUUACAGAUCAAGGAUCCUUUCCCUGUUGAAAUCAUAUUGUUUCUACUAAGUAACUACCGCAGUGUUAGUACUAGUUUUCCGUGAAGUGAAGGUGUACAAGACUAUGACCUAUGAAUUGACAGCCAGUGCAAUAACAGAUUUGCCUGUCAGUUCUAUAGGCCACUAUUUUGUCCAUCAUUCUAAUACAUUUCAACUUAACCAAGACAACAUAUUUAAUACCUGUAAUUUUUUUUUUUUUUUUAAUGCGUACAAUGUAUAAAAUAUAUGAAAUAAUGGCACUGUAAUAGAUAAAACAAACUUAUUCUUAUUUAAGAAAAUAAAAUAUUUUGUGCACCUCAUUGCCUAAUAUUGCAAAUUGUACUUGAUAACAGUAAAAUAUUUAAAAGCUCCAGUCUGAAGAAGGAUCCCGACCCGGAACAUUGUCUGUCCAUUCGCUCCACAGAUGCUGCCUGGCCCGCCAAGUUUCCCCAGCACUGUUUUUUGCAAAUGUAAACAAACCCAUACAGGUUUACUUUCACAAUUGGACACAAUAUGGACUCAAAUGAAUAUACUUGUCAAGCUGAAAAUUAUGAGCUCAGCUUCGGGCCUUUGUCAUCCUGAGAACAGCCAAACAGAGGUUACGGGAGAGGGCAUGGAGUCUUGAGCUGUGAGCUAUUCCAAUAACUGCACUUUUAAUAUAACUGCAAGGCGGCUAUAUGUGACAAAGAACAGGACAAUGAAUUGGAGAAAAGGCCAUUUUGAGAACUUGAGAAUGAAUGAAUAUCAAUGAAAAGGGUGUACAGAAAUAUUUAUAAAUGUCUUUAAUAGACUCCUGCAAGUAUACUUGUGUUAAAUUGCAGAAACAAAUGAAACAAUGGCAGCGUAGAUGGAUAUAAAGGUCCAUUUAAAUAUAUGUAAAGAGGCCUGCAAAGCGUAAAAAUCACAGGCAGAAAUCGCAAAUUAGGAGAAACAAUUAUUUUGUUUCUCUAUUUACUUUGUUUCUCUAUUUAUUAUAAACACAUGAUGGACAUGAUUUGGAGGUUGAGAUAAGACAUAUUAUAACAGUAUAUUAUAAAACAAGAGAAAUAUUAAAUAAUCAAACUUAAGAUAAAUUCCCGCAUACAUUAUCAUAUCACUGUCAUAUCAAUCCACUAUCAGGGAUGGCGUAUCGAUAAGGGUACAGAGUUUAAUAUAGAUGUUACCAGAAGUAUAGAUUCUGCUGAAUUGCAGGUACAAACAAAAUAAUAACACAAUGGAUGUCCAGGGCUACAUAUGAGGAAGAAUGCACAGAUUAAAAUCUAUUUUCUCUCGAGAAAAGAAAGCUGAAGGGUGGAAAAAGAAUGUUUUCACUUGUGAGGAAGUUACUAUUAUUAGUCACCAAGAAAUUCCAUUGUGAAUUCAGAAUAAUCUCUCCAGGUAAAGGAUGGCAGUAAAAUGAAAAUCAACACCAUAGACAGAGAGUGUCAAGAUAGGUAAUAUAGGUUUAUUUUUGAGGAGGUAGUAUGGGCAGUAUGUUGGUAUAGCAGUUAUUGGUUCAAUCUUCAUUGCAAGUUCUGUGUGUAGUUUGUGCAUUCUUCCCAUGACUUUGUGGAGUUCUUUUGGGUGCUCCAGUUUCCUCCUGCUUCUGAAAGGCACACUUGUAGAUUUGCCCCUCUGUUACCCCAAAAUGUAGCUCAGUUGCAAACAAACCAAAGGGGCAUUAAUGAGCUGAGGAAAAGAAAACAUCACGGAGCUUGAAGCAAUGGGACUGAUGAGAUUGCUCCAGUGGGGCUCAACGUGGACCCUAUGGGCUGCACAACUUAUUUCAAUGCACAGAAGGGCACUUUAUGGCUGACAUGGACAUGCAGGCUGGAGUGUCUGUUUCCGUGCUGCAAAUGUCUAUGAUCGGCCAAGGGGUUAAAAUAGAUUCACAAGCAUGAAACCAGAAUGCAAGAUUAUAUUGAUGAGACAAGGAUAACAGACAAUCUGUUCCAAAAGCGAAAAAGCUCCCACAACCAUCAAUUUUGGACUGACCCACAUAACCUUAACCUUGGCAACAGAACAUUGCAGAUUACUUCUUGAACAUCCAUGAAUUUGUAUUCUAAUUGCGUGUUGUAGUAAUGUCUUGUUUUAUUUUGCACUGUCUUGCAGAAUUUGUGUGUAAUGUAUGUACAGCCUAUGUUUCUGUGUGUUACCCGAGUCUAUGUGCCUGUGAUGUUGUGGCAGAAAAGGUUUUUCACUGUGCCUGUACCUCACCAGUAUUAUGCAAAUGACAAUAAACUUGAAUAGUAAUAUACCAUACCCAUUCUAACUUUUUAGUGUGCACUUGCAAAGCUCUAUAUUGUAAUUCAUAAACAGAAAGUAACCAAAGGUUUAAGGAAGUCAUGGAGACAGUUGACACAAAGAAAUUCCAACUGCCGUGGAGCAUAGAUUCUAAAUAACCAAUCUUAGAUGCAGGAACGGUGAAUAAAAAGGCCAGUAUUUAAGAUGGUUUGCGAAGGAACAUGUUAACAGAUGAAUAUGAUUAUUAGGAUUGUGAGAAUUUUUUAAUCUAUUCCCUUUCACAUGGAGAAGGAAGGAGAAAAGAACAACAUACAUUAGUGCAAAAGUAAGAGGUGAGAGGUUACUGAUGACCAUGAACAUGGAUCAGAUUAUGGGUCAUGGUAUUUUGAAUGGAACAAAGAGAUCAUGCAGGUUAAACGCUGAAGCGUUCUCUCAAUAAUGUAAUGCAGAAAAGUCAUGCUAUCAUAAUGUCA